CCUACGGGGGGCAGCAGUAGGGAAUUUUCGGCAAUGGGGGGAACCCUGACCGAGCAACGCCGCGUGAACGAAGACGUUAUUCGUAAUGUAAAGUUCUUUUAACAGGGAAGAAAGAGAAAUUUGACGGUACCUGAAGAAUAAGCUCCGGCAAACUACGUGCCAGCAGCCGCGGUAAUACGUAGGGAGCGAGCGUUAUCCGGAAUUAUUGGGCGAAAAGGGUGCGUAGAUGGCAUAGUAAGUCUUUUGUAAAAAUGCUGGGCUCAACCCAGUAGGGCAAAAGAUACUGGAAAGCUAGAGUAUGACAGAGGCAAGUGGAACUACAUGUGUAGCGGUAAAAUGCGUAAAUAUAUGUAAGAACACCAGUGGCGAAGGCGGCUUGCUGGGUCGAUACUGACAUUGAGGCACGAAAGCGUGGGGAGCAAACAGGAUUAGAUACCCCAGUAGUC
rnacentral:rRNA from 1 species